GAUGAACGCUGGCGGCGUGCUUAACACAUGCAAGUCGAACGAAGCAUUUAGGACAGAUUACUUCGGUUUGAAGUUCUUUAUGACUGAGUGGCGGACGGGUGAGUAACGCGUGGGUAACCUGCCUUGUACUGGGGGAUAGCAGCUGGAAACGGCUGGUAAUACCGCAUAAGCGCACAAUGUUGCAUGACAUGGUGUGAAAAACUCCGGUGGUAUAAGAUGGACCCGCGUCUGAUUAGCUAGUUGGUGAGAUAACAGCCCACCAAGGCGACGAUCAGUAGCCGACCUGAGAGGGUGACCGGCCACAUUGGGACUGAGACACGGCCCAGACUCCUACGGGAGGCAGCAGUGGGGAAUAUUGCACAAUGGAGGAAACUCUGAUGCAGCGACGCCGCGUGAGUGAAGAAGUAAUUCGUUAUGUAAAGCUCUAUCAGCAGGGAAGAUAGUGACGGUACCUGACGAGGAAGCUCCGGCUAAAUACGUG
rnacentral:rRNA from 1 species